rnacentral:rRNA from 1 species
AUUGCCCUAGUAACGGCGAGUGAAGCGGCAACAGCUCAAAUUUGAAAUCUGGCCCUCGGGUCCGAGUUGUAAUUUGUAGAGGAUGCUUUUGGCGCGGUGCCUUCCGAGUUCUCUGGAACGAGACGCCUUAGAGGGUGAGAGCCCCGUACGGUUGGACACCAAGCCUCUGUAAAGCUCCUUCGACGAGUCGAGUAGUUUGGGAAUGCUGCUCUAAAUGGGAGGUAAAUUUCUUCUAAAGCUAAAUAUUGGCCAGAGACCGAUAGCGCACAAGUAGAGUGAUCGAAAGAUGAAAAGCACUUUGAAAAGAGGGUUAAAUAGCACGUGAAAUUGUUGAAAGGGAAGCGUUUGCGACCAGACCUUUUCCUGGCGGAUCAUCCGGUGUUCUCACCGGUGCACUUCGCCUGGUUUAGGCCAGCAUCGGUUUCUGUAGGGGGAUAAAAGCUCUGGGAACGUAGCUCCCUCGGGAGUGUUAUAGCCCUCUGCAUAAUACCCUUACGGGGACCGAGGACCGCGCUUUAUGCAAGGAUGCUGGCGUAAUGGUUGUCAACGACCCGUCUUGAAACACGGACCAAGGAGUCGAACAUUUGUGCGAGUGUUUGGGUGUUAAACCCUCACGCGUAAUGAAGGUGAACGUAGGUGAGAGCCCUUACGGGUGCAUCAUCGACCGAUCCUGAUGUCUUCGGAUGGAUUUGAGUAAGAGCAUAACUGUUCGGACCCGAAAGAUGGUGAACUAUGCGUGGAUAGGGUGAAGCCAGAGGAAACUCUGGUGGAGGCUCGCAGCGGUUCUGACGUGCAAAUCGAUCGUCAAAUCUGCGCAUGGGGGCGAAAGAC